CCCUCUAUGAGCCUGAGCGGCACCUGCAGGGGGAGACAAAGAGCACGUGCGUCAGCCUGGCAUCCCGCUGUCAAAGCAAACAGCACAUCUACAGAGAGGAAACCACCCUCUGGUCCAGAAGAGACUCGCUGCAGAGAUAUGAAGGAAGGGUGAUGUCAUAAUCAAGCACAAAACCUUUUAAAAAAAGGUAAGAAAGAUAACUUUAUGUCAUCCUGAUCAAUGCGACUUUAAAUUAAUUAUUAAUAAACAUUGCGUUGUCAUCAGGUGCAGAAUGCUGCCGUCUAGACUGUAGCAGGGGGUGGUGUUUUAUCACACGGUACUCACAGAGAUGUCCGUGUCCACACCUGCCAAGGUCUAAAACACAGUGACACCAUGGAUCACACAGAGAGAAAGAGAGGAAGGAGGAAACACAAGACAGGGGGAGAUGAAAAAAACUAUUAAAACUAAAGUAAAUUAGAAAAGGAAAAUGAAGAGUUAAAAGGAAAAAAAAAAAA